UACGGGGGGGGCAAGCGUUGUUCGGAAUUACUGGGCGUAAAGCGCACGUAGGCGGCUUUACAAGUCAGGGGUGAAAGCCCGCGGCUCAACCGCGGAAUUGCCCUUGAGACUGUAUCGCUUGAACACGGGAGAGGUGAGUGGAAUUCCGAGUGUAGAGGUGAAAUUCGUAGAUAUUCGGAAGAACACCAGUGGCGAAGGCGGCUUCCUGGACCGACACUGACGCUGAGGCGCGAAAGCUAGGGGAGCAAACGGG
rnacentral:rRNA from 1 species